rnacentral:rRNA from 1 species
UACGAAGGGGGCUAGCGUUGCUCGGAAUCACUGGGCGUAAAGGGUGCGUAGGCGGGUCUUUAAGUCAGGGGUGAAAUCCUGGAGCUCAACUCCAGAACUGCCUUUGAUACUGAGGGUCUUGAGUUCGGGAGAGGUGAGUGGAACUGCGAGUGUAGAGGUGAAAUUCGUAGAUAUUCGCAAGAACACCAGUGGCGAAGGCGGCUCACUGGCCCGAUACUGACGCUGAGGAGCGAAAGCGUGGGGAGCAGA